CCUACGGGCGGCUGCAGUGAGGAAUAUUGGUCAAUGGGCGAGAGCCUGAACCAGCCAAGUCGCGUGAGGGAGUACUGCCCUAUGGGUUGUAAACCUCUUUUGUCGGGGAGCAAAAGCCGGACGUGUCCGGCUGUGAGAGUACCCGAAGAAAAAGCAUCGGCUAACUCCGGGCCAGCAGCCGCGGUAAUACGGAGGAUGCGAGCGUUAACCGGAUUUAUUGGGGUUAAAGGGGUCGCAGGCGGAUUUUUAAGUCAGCGGUCAAAUCGCGGGGCUCAACCCCAUCCAGCCGUUGAAACUGGGGAUCUAGAGUGUGCGAGAGGUAUGCGGAAUGCGUGGUGUAGCGGUGAAAUGCAGAGAUAUCACGCAGAACCCCGAUUGCGAAGGCAGCAUACCGGUGCACAACUGACACUCAGGCACGAAAGCGUGGGUAUCGAACAGGAUUAGAUACCCCUGUAGUC
rnacentral:rRNA from 1 species